rnacentral:lncRNA from 1 species
AGUUUAAUCUGUUUUAUUAGACUUUAUUCUAAACUAUUAAUUUAAGAUCUGUUUACACGCCGCUUUUAUAUCCAAGUUGCAAGAAAAAUAAAUAGCUAGGAAGAUCAUCUGAAGUUUUCUAUAUUGGUAUAUCAACAUUUUGAUGUAUUUUUGUGUCGACAAAUGUUUUAUUAUCCACACGGCCAGUUUAAAAUUAUUGUAACUUUGUAAAAGAGGUCUAAGUAUCUAACUACUACCCAAUACGUGUAAUAAGUUUUUUAUUUUUUAUUUUUAUUUUUAAGUAUGAGAAAGGGGGAAAUUGGAAAUUGAUGGUUGUGGCUGUGGAUAUUUGUAAAGUAAAAAUAUAUAUCAUCAUCGUAAGAUCUAUUUGCACGUCGAUUUUUUAAAUAAAAGUUGAGAAAAGGUGAAUUAAACAUCAACGAUGUCCCAAAUCAUAGCCUCGACUAGUAGACAAACACGUCUAAUUGGGUGACGAUUAGACAGAUACGUCCAAUUAGGUGAAAAACUAACAAAAUCACCACUUCUUGAAUGGUUCAAGAUAUAUUUAAAAUCUCAACAUAUAUGUUAGCAUGCAAGAAAUUCAAACCAAAGAAAAUUUACAUGCUUUGGUACAACUACAAUUCAGAUUUAUUUCUAUAUAAUCUCUUAAAUGUCUACUAAAAAGAAAUUUUGUUUCAUUCUUAUUUCUUGGUAAUUGGUAUGUAUUGAUCCAUCAUUUUGUUUCUUCCUGUUUUUGUUUUCAUAUUGUCCACUACACCCCAAUGCUUCUGUUGCUUUGGAUGACAAGAUAGUUGUUUUCUUACUCGACACAUCGUACGAGAACUUCGUAAGUAUCGGUAUAUUAGUACACUGUUACAGUAAAUGAAUCACCAUAAAAAAAUCCACCGGGUAUGAUGUAUUUUGGACCUCCACACCAUUCUUUUAGUCAUUUUAAAUGAAUCACCAUUCUAUUCUAAUUUUUUUUUAUCACGAUUUAUGAAAUAUCUAAGUACUGUAUGCGUUAAUC